rnacentral:misc_RNA from 1 species
AUGUGUCUUGUGCGUCUGCGCGACUUUGGAGAAAAAGUAGACCAGCUCGAUAUGGAUAAGAAAAAUGAACUGAGGGAGUUUGAGAGAUCUUGUGAUUCUCUAAACACUUGCUUCUCUAGUCUCCGAUGCCGGCCAAAAUCCAAUGUGAAUGUGACAAGAUGAAUUGCUUCGUAUUGUUGAAAAAUAUUGCGAUGCUGUUGUGUACAUCUACGAGGAUUUUUCCAAAUGUAGUGACAAGCUCACCGAAAAAAAGUCAGAGUGUUUCGACAACUGGGACCCUCUUCCAAAUGGGAUUCAUACAGAAGAGGACGCAAAGAAGAUUCAGAAAAUGAGAGAAGAAGCAUGUAAGACAUAUUUCGGAAAAGAUGACUGCUUGAAGAAAGAGAUUACGGAAACAUGCGGUCAAAAAGAAUGGAAAAAAUUUCGUGAGCAUUUUGUCAAUCUUUCCUACCAAAUUGUUAGCAAAUGUGACUUCAGCCGAUUUGGAUGAGCAUGUGGAUUUUGUAAAAAAUGAACAAAUUAGUUUUGAUCAAACCCGGGAAAAUUGUAUUAACUAUUAACUACAAAGAAAAAAUAUGUUUCAGAAACUUGAAUUUGAGUUAACCUUCUCUUUGGAAGAAAAGUAUUAAAUUCCGAUUUGAUGAGAAAUUGAAAAAAUUGUAAUUGUAAAAAUAAAGGUAUGAUGAAGAAACAUGAGCCUCUUAUCUUUUUCAUCACAGCCUGGUUGUUUGAAACUACGUAACUGUACUAGUUGUUUGAUUUGUUUUUAAUUUAGUCUGUCUUCCGAGGGGCAUGCGGAAAUUAAUAUGGUUCUCUUAAAAACAAAUGGAGCUAUAGCUAUGUGUGCUCAUUCGUAUUUAUGUCUCACUUAGGUUAUUACGUUUUCAAUUUCUUUUCUUUUUUUUUCAGUUUAGAAAUUUUAAUUUUUUGAAUCUAACACAAAUUUCUCAAGUUUAGCAUGAAUAUAAGAUGGGCUCAUCGAUAUAUUCCCGCGGCAUUUGGAUAUUUGUCAUUCGUUUUAAAUCCCAUACUUGGCUACCUAAUUCUCACCGAGCCAAAAUCCGCAACAAUUGGAAAGUAUCGAUACUUAAUUUUGUUCUUUGCGGUGUUUGACAUGGUCUACUCAACAGUAGAGUUACUGGUACCACUGGGAAUGCAUGGAACUGGUUCAGCUUUUGUCACGUAUCUCGCUCAUGGACCAUUUUUUGGAAAAGAUACUAUUCGCCUUGCCCAGUUUGCAAUUUCUGUCAGAUGUGGUUUCAUUGCAUUGUCAUAUGGCAUUCUCAUCAUUCACUUCAUUUACCGCUACAUCGCUCUUUUCAGGCCUCAAUUAAUUGAUGACGUGUUCCGGCCGAUGGGAAUAUGUUGCAUGAUGACAUUUUUCCUGGCCCACGGAGUUGCAUGGACUGCCGUUUGCGAGCUGUGUCUGUACGCAAAUGAUGAAAUCAGGGACUACAUUCGAACGACUUUCAGAGAUGAGUAUGACGUCGACUCAUAUGACAUUGCUUUCGUGGCUGCACUUUACAUUGAUGGAAGCAAUGAAACAAAAAACAAAAGUUGGGCUGGGAUCUUUCUUCUUUUCAGCAUUUCUUCGUUCGCUGUUUCGUUUUAUUUAAUUCUGGGAAGAAAGAUCGUUGUCAAACUGAGAACUCAUACUGCACUCUCUCAACAAACUCGAAACAUGCACAGGCAGCUCUUCCUAGUUUUGGCAUUUCAAACAAUCAUCCCAGUUUGCAUCUGUUUUUCUCCUUGUAUGAUGGCGUGGAUUGGCCCAAUGUUCUACUUGGAUUUUGGAAUGUGGGACAACUACUUUGGGGUCAUCGCGUUUUCAGCUUUCCCAUUCUUGGACCCUCUUGCUAUAAUCUGCCUGCUUCCGAACUACAGAACUCGUAUAACCGGUGCAUCCGUUUUCACAUCAGUUUCUCCAGUGAUGCCAAUCAGUACUGUUCCACCUGUUUUAAAUUAA